GCAUGGUGCACGUCAUGUAUAUGGAAUCAACUGUCAACUCGUGUCACCAAUUCAGCAGUUAGUCUGACUGGCCGAUGACUGCAUUACACAGUUGUAAAUUCUGGGUGUUGCAGUUGUGUCUACAGUUUUUCUUUCUGCCUGUCUGUAUUUACUACAAAGAAUCGUUUUCAUAAAAAUGGAAUGGCCAAGGAAUGCUACAAACGUGCAGGUGCCACCAAUGAAGGAUGGCUCAUGACUUGGUAGAAGAGGCCAAGCUAUCUGCAUUCCUUCUGUACCAUGGGCUAACAACCAGCGAGAUUAGAUGUUGCUGCAGGUGCAGGGACUGAGACUAGUGUUCUGGUCUGCUUCCAAGAGGGUAAGUUAUGUUCAUUAAAGACUCUGUAGGUCUUUGAGUGCCCAGUAUGUAUGGUGUGCUCCUGUUAACGCGGCAGCGUGUACGUAGGCUAAACUACUCUCUCUCUGUUCCAGGGUUUUGUGCUGUGGAAGUGUGACUCAGUAAACAGAGAGAGCUUGAGAAUUCAAGUGUGGCUGAAUAUUCCUUGGAGAAUGGACACACAAUAAAAUUUGAAGAGACUAUAUUCUUCGCUCAUACAUCAUCACCAAUCAUCACUUCAGCCCUUGGCUGGCUGUAGCUGAUAUGAGCUUCUCAACUUGCCUUCCACUCAAGUGUUACUUUGGCCCUCCCUGGAGGGUUCCAGAUGCUGCUGUCAUGAUUGUGUAGGUGGAACACUGUGCCAGCACUGGCAGUCAGUGGUUUCCUUACUCCUGAUGGCAGCUUGAAAACUGAGAAGAUUUUACUAAGGCAUGCCACUGUGAAAGGCUCCAAGGAUACACAGAAUGUUUAAGUCUGCCAGGAAGUAUGCCCUGAGACACUGAUUGAUUACAAAGACAGCUUAAUGCUAAUCUUAUCAAGUCAGCACAAUAUUUUAAUAUUCUGAUAGAAAACCCAUCAUAGCCAGCAUAAUUAUUACUAUUUUGAGAACUGAUGAAUUUUGUUAUCUCCUUAGGAGUCAUAAUUUUGAAACUAUUGUUUGAUAUUCAUUUGUGUAGCAUGCCAAAGUAAAUUUAAUGCAUGUAUAUUUGGUUGUU